AACGAAGAGGUAUCGUAAUUGAAGAGGUUUGGAAAGACCCACCACAGAAGGUAAUAGUCCUGUAUGUUAAACGAGAAGACUUCAGAUAUGAUCCAGAGUACCACGGGACACGUGAAACCCUGUGGGAAGCAGGAGGGACCACCCUCCAAGGCUAAAUACUACCUAGUGACCGAUAGCGUAUAGUACCGUGAGGGAAAGGUGAAAAGAACCCCGGGAGGGGAGUGAAAUAGAACCUGAAACCCUGCACUUACAAGCUGUGGAAGCACAUUUCUUGUGUGACCGCGUACUUUUUGUAGAACGGGCCAACGAGUUACGUUAAGUAGCAAGGUUAAGCACUUAAGGUGUGGAGCCGUAGCGAAAGCGAGUUUUAACUGAGCGUUCAGUUACUUGACGUAGACCCGAAACCGGGCGACCUACCCAUGAGCAGGAUGAAGCGAAAGUAAAAUUUCGUGGAGGUCCGAACCCACGAGCGUUGAAAAGCUCGGGGAUGACUUGUGGGUAGCGGUGAAAUUCCAAUCGAGCCCGGAGAUAGCUGGUUCUCCCCGAAAUAGCUUUAGGGCUAGCCUCAAGGUGAGAGAUACGGAGGUAGAGCACUGAAUGUCCUAGGGGGUAUUGCACCUACCGAAGACUAUCAAACUCCGAAUGCCGUCAUCUUAUACUUGGGAGUCAGACUGUGGGUGAUAAGAUUCAUAGUCGAAAGGGCAACAGCCCAGAUCGUCAGCUAAGGUCCCUAAAUGUAAGUUAAGUGGUAAAGGAUGUGGGAUUGCACAGACAACCAGGAUGUUGGCUUAGAAGCAGCCACUCAUUCAAAGAGUGCGUAAUAGCUCACUGGUCGAGUGAUCCUGCGCCGAAGAUUUCCGGGGCUAAAACUUACUACCGAAGCUACGGCAUCAGUAAUGAUGGGUAGGGGAGCUUCCCAUACGGGUUGAAGCAUGACCGUAAGGACAUGUGGACAGUAUGGGAGUGAGAAUGUUGGCAUGAGUAGCGAGAUGUGGGUGAGAAUCCCACAGGCCGUAAACCCAAGGUUUCCAGGGGAAGGUUCGUCCGCCCUGGGUUAGUCGGGACCUAAGCUGAGGCCGAAAGGCGUAGGUGAUGGACAACAGGUUGAUAUUCCUGUACUACCGAUAACCGUUUGAGAGAAGGGAUGACACAGUAGGAUAAGCUAAGCACACUGUUGGUUAUGUGUGCCCAAGCAUUGAGGCAGUCAAAGUAGGCAAAUCCGCUUUGAUAAUGCUGGGAUGUGAUGGGGAGCGAAAUUUAGUAGCGAAGUAGCUGAUUUCACACUGUCAAGAAAAGUCUCUAUCGAGGUUAAAGGUACCCGUACCGCAAACCGACACAGGUGGGUGAGGAGAGUAUCCUAAGGCCAGCGAGAGAACUGUUGUUAAGGAACUCGGCAAAAUGACCCCGUAACUUAGGGAUAAGGGGUGCCACCAUCAGGUGGCCGCAGAGAAUAGGCCCAAGCGACUGUUUACCAAAAACAUAGGUUUCUGCUAAGUCGCAAGACGAUGUAUAGGAGCUGACGCCUGCCCGGUGCUGGAAGGUUAAGGGGAUCUGUUAGAGCAAUCGAAGCAGUGAACUUAAGCCCCAGUAAACGGCGGCCGUAACUAUAACGGUCCUAAGGUAGCGAAAUUCCUUGUCGGGUAAGUUCCGACCCGCACGAAAGGCGUAACGAUUUGGGCACUGUCUCAACAACAGACUCGGUGAAAUUGUAAUUCCGGUGAAGAUGCCGGAUACCUGCGACAGGACGGAAAGACCCCAUGGAGCUUUACUGUAGCUUGACAUUGGGUCUUGGUACUACAUGUACAGGAUAGGUGGGAGGCUUUGAAACCAGGACGCCAGUUUUGGCGGAGCCAUCCUUGGGAUACCACCCUUGUAGUACUGGGACUCUAACCAUAGGCCAUGAAUCUGGUCUUGGGACACUGUCAGGUGGGCAGUUUGACUGGGGCGGUCGCCUCCCAAAAGGUAACGGAGGCGCUCAAAGGUUCUCUCAGUACGGUCGGAAAUCGUACGUAGAGUGUAAAGGCAAAAGAGAGCUUGAUUGCAAGACAUACAGGUCGAGCAAGGAUGAAAAUCGGACUUAGUGAUCCGGUGGUUCUGCGUGGAAGGGCCAUCGCUCAACGGAUAAAAGCUACCCUGGGGAUAACAGGCUUAUCUCCCCCAAGAGUCCACAUCGACGGGGAGGUUUGGCACCUCGAUGUCGGCUCAUCACAUCCUGGGGCUGUAGUAGGUCCCAAGGGUUGGGCUGUUCGCCCAUUAAAGUGGUACGCGAGCUGGGUUCAGAACGUCGUGAGACAGUUCGGUCCCUAUCCGUCGCAGGCGUAGGAAAUUUGAGAAGACCUGUCCUUAGUACGAGAGGACCGGGAUGGACGUACCUCUGGUGUACCAGUUGUUCUGCCAAGGGCAUGGCUGGGUAGCUAUGUACGGAAUGGAUAAGCGCUGAAAGCAUCUAAGCGCGAAGCCAACU
rnacentral:rRNA from 1 species